ACUUUGUGAAAAAAAAAAUUUGGAAGCCAAAAGUUAAAAAGUAAAUUCCAAAAACUUUAGACCCAUUAUCAAUCCAUGACCCAGUUUAUUAAAAACUUUGAUUUUCUAAAUCAUCAUAGUCAAUAGGUGUUGUCAGAAAAAUCCAAAUCUAGCGAGAAACAUAACAAAUCCAGCCAACCUAUUUUGCAUCCCUGUCAUGGUUGUAUGUCCAGAUCCAUAAGAGAUCUGGUUUUUGUUGAAGUUCUGGUCAUGUGCCUUGCUACUUUGUAAAUUUGGUCGAAUCUCUGAAGUUUGACACCCAAGAAAAACACUUAAUAUAAUCCGAAGACUCGUCUAGUACAGUUUCAGUUUGCCGGAAUUCAAGACCUCGCCGGAGAACAUCAUACAUCAUUGAUAUAACACGAAAUGUAAGCUCUAAUCUAUGUCUUUCUCUUCGUCUUUCUCAUAGAAUCAAAACUCCUAUCUUUAUUUCUGUGAACGACCUUUAUGAGGAAUGAAUUGGAAGGUUAAAGGGGGUUAGGGUUCGUAUUGUAUUGUUUGAAGAAGAGGUAUGACAGUGGAGGUGGUCGGCAUUAGGUGGGAGUGGGAAGGGACUAAAUACCUUAUACCAAAAGGUAGCAAGCAUUCAUAUAUGUUAACAGAUAAACUGAAUGAACAGUGUUAAACACUGCUCAUUGGAGGAUCUAGGCGGUGACGAGUCAUCACCACAUAAACACCUGCCCUAAUUUACCACCAUCGAGUCAUCCAUGAAACCCAAGUCAUACAUAUCUUGAUUGGUUCACAAGGGCGGUGCCUUCACCCCUCCAGUCCAUAUUUAAGGUGGUGAGAAAGAGGUGUCGAUUGAUGAUGGUGGAACGGUUAACGGAGGAGCACCGCCGCCCCUUCUGUCCAUCUUGUCUGAUCGACGCCUAUCCUGUCUUCAAUCUCCUCGGCUGAGCGCCUGUUUAGUGAAUACCUGUCGUUGCCGGCGGCCAUUUGAGUCUGAUUCUGGCAGCAACGGCUAUUCCGAUGGAGACCUAUUGUUGCCGGCGGCCAUUUGAGUCUGUUUCUAGCGGCGACGGCCUUCAGAUUUCUCCAUGGUAACCUCUUUUUAUCUCCAUUCUUGAGUUUUAUACUUUUAAAGCUUUUGGUAUAAUGCAUGACUUCUCUAAUUUCAGAACUCUUUGGAUCUGUAAAGCCUAAAGAAUUUCUGGUGUAAAACCCUAAGUCUACUAUGAAUUUCUAGGGGUGGAGUUUAAUUGUUGAUAUCCAGUAAUCUUGAUUAUUGGGUUCUGAAAUAUGAAAUCCGGUGAUCAUGAAGUUGUAAAGGUGGAAUCUUUGCAUGUUAGGAGGUCUUUGUUCCUGAAUGGGGUCUUUGAUUUGUGUUGUUGUAGUCUUUGUAUCUAAAUGGGGAAUUUGAUUGUACCACCGUUUCGAGACCGUAAGUUAGUCUUUGUUUUUGCAACCUCCGUUGCAGCCAUUAUCAACCAGUUGAACUUCACCCGACCUGUUGGAAUUAAGGGUAUAUGGAACUGAAAGUUAUAUUUGGUCGUUGCGUACCGAGUUCGUUUGCUGGCUAUGAUGACUUUGGUAAAAAAAAAGUUGAGGUUUGAUGUUGCAUAGCAAGGAUGGCGAGUGCAGUUUUUGCUAUUAGCAACCUGUUAUGCAGCUAUGACAACCUCAAUACCUAUCCUGAGCCGUCUAUUACAAGUCAUUAAAAAACCAAAAGGAGUUCCAAUUCCAUAAACGACCUCAUUAAAAUGAGUGAAUCAUUUCCGUUUGAAUGGAUCAGUAAAAAUGGAAAGAAGGGUUUCAUGUAACUUCAAUGACUACAGCUAGCAGUCGUUGGGGUGUUGUGAUGUCAACAAACGCAAGAUUUUUUUACCAGGUAUUGUUAUGUGCUUUUAUCGAGCAUAUAAAAGUUAUAGCAGAAUGUUAAAUUUGCAAAUUUGAAUGCAUAUUGUUAAUAUUUUGGUAAGUAACAACAGUGCAUUUGAGUGCAAAGUAAAUUAUGACGAAGAAGAUUAUUAAGGAAGGUGAUGGGUAUGAAGCACCUGUUAAUGGUAAUCAAGUUGAAGGUAAUUCUAUAUUUUUUAACUCGGACUCUUCAUGAGUUGAGCUCGAGUCAGGUGAGCUCAAGCGUGGUUCGAAUUUUCAACCAAGCUGGCUUGAUUCAGCCUGGCUUGAAUUUUAAACUGAAUUAACUAUUUGAACUGGCCUCGGCUACUUGCAGACCGGUCACGUGGUCGUGCGGUGACAGGUGACAGAAUCAACCAUCAUUAUCACUGUUCUUAUACUUCUUUGGUAUGGAUCUUUAUUGUUGUACAUGGAUUAUAAUGUGGAGAAUGAAAUACGACAAGGAGUGGAGAAGUAUUUCAUUGUGAAUUACAUCACACUUGACAUCUUGCGUGCUUUUUUUCACUAUGUUUUUUAAUUAAAAAUGGAUAAUGAAUUGUGAUCCCUAUGGGUCGAGUGGAAAAUAUGAGAACAUAGUCUUGCGUUGACAACAAUUUCAUUGUUCUUGUAAACCACCAGGGACACGUCUUGCAUCGCCUAAAAAAAUUUACUACUAGACACGAGUAGUUGUUGACCCGUGAUUUUUCUGCCGCAACGCGCGACGGUAUAACACUAAUCUAAUCUAAAUCUAUCAAAUCUAUUAAUAGAGGAUUUGAAUGAAUAGUGAUACUGAAAAUCACAACCGUCCGUUUUGAUCCCACGGUUUAGAUAAGUGAAGGUUCCACGCGUCUCCUCCAAAGCCUUUCAGAUUUCAUUAGUGAAUUAAAUCUGAAAACAAAAUGUUCAAUUAAAAAACAUGAGUAGUUAAUUAGUGCGUAAAAAGAAGUGAUAACGGAUUUGAUUUUUACAGGUCCUGGUUGUUCGUCAGUUGUAGAAAGGGCAUAGCUGGAAAACGGGUUGGAUCCGCAAUUUAGUUUUGGGAUUACUUCGAGAAGAUAUGCAAGUUUGUGUUUAUUCAUUAAUUUAAUUGUUAAGUGUAGCAUAAUUGUUAUUUCAUGAAACUUUGCAAUUUCAAGAGAAUGACACUGCUUGGACGCGCUUUUAGUGUUACCUGAGGCAUGUGACUUUCAUUUCUAUAGCUAUUGACACAGGUCACAACUUAUGCUGGUAUUGCAUGGCUUUUUUUUUUAAUCAAUGACAGCCUGUAAUUGUCAGGAAAUCGUUUUAGUGUGAUUCACGUGUAUGACCCGUUGGCCGUUACCAUCCCGUCCAUCAGUAUGUCAUAUAAGAUUACCAAAAAUGUUUAUCUUUUCAUUUAUAAACAAACGAUUCUGGAGAUCUUAUGCCUUCAAAAUGGACUUUUGGGCGAAUUUCAACCUAUUUUAUUCAUAACUAACUAUUGCCAUAAUUUACCAGUAAUCUAAGGUGAAUAAUUUAAUUUAAUUGUCUAUUAUAUAUAAUUUACAUGUUUAUUCCUUCUGAGUACGACUCCCAUACAAUUCUUCGGAGAGCUGGAGUAGCGUAUAAAAAGGGGUGAUGGAAAGCAAACCUAAACGAUGCUUAAUAUGUCUGCAAAAAAUAUGCUUUCACAAUCGAACAUAAUAGAAAAAAUGUUGAGGCAACCUGCUGUUUAAAACCAUCAUAGAAAUGAAUGAUGGAAUCAAGAGAAUUGGAGGACAUUAAAGGCGAAGCGUACAGGUGCUAGAGGAGAUUAAAAGCGAAGCGUACUGGUGCUAUAGGAGAUUAAAGGCGAAGCGUACGAGUGCUAGAAGAGAAGAUGAAAGGUGAAGAGUACGGAUGGGCAAAUAGUAGAAGUCAAGUUUGGGGACUGAAUCAAGAGAACUGAAGCAAUUUCACUCACAGGCCUGGACUUUGGCUAAUGCACCUGGGUUUCUUUUUAUUCUGCUAUAUGAUGAGGUUGUUGGGUCGAAGAUCGCACGUAAUGGUUAGAAGAUAUAAUAUGUGGCGGCAGCGGUCAGGUUAUGAGAUCUAAGAGGCAAAGAUCAAGUUAUAAGAUCCUAGAUCUGUCUCUCUAUUCACAGUUUUGAAGUUAUUGGAGUUAAAAGUAAACAUAUAUCAACUAUAACAUGAAUUACCCUCUUACAACAACCUAUGUCAUGCUAACAAGGCAAAAAAACAUAUUGCAAUCGCGCAACGUGUGACAAUGGAUAACACUAGUUAACAUUCAUUCACAAGAUCCAUUUUUGCAUAAAGAUACAACGAUUUGAGAAAGUACACAUUAAAAAUUCAAGAUUUUGGAUUGAUAAAUGAUAAAGAUUUCAAGAAACUAAAGAAACCCUUUUGAGGAUCUUUAGAUUUUGAAGGAAAUUUAACUAAUAUCAAACGGCAUGGAUGAAAUAAGUGCGGAAAUUGAAUCUUUUUCACUACCCAACUUUUAAUUUGCUUGAAAUUUUUAAAGAAAACAAAAAAGAUUUAAACUUUAUGCAUGUUGAGACAACAAAAUAUAGACCGAAGAUAGUAGCAAGGGUGGUUAGGCAGAAGGGUUAAAGGGUUU